rnacentral:lncRNA from 1 species
UGAAUAAGGUUUUGAGGUUUUAAUUUUUCCCCCUGUCCCAUUCUGCACUCUUCUUUCCCUUCCCUUUAUUUAAGCAAGGAGUUUACAGGAACGAGGUGCCAAAGAAGACAGUGGAAGGGACCUGGGAGGUUUCUUGUCCUAUACAGAAUUUGGGAAAUUUCCUCAGUGCCAGGAGGAAGCAAGAUUUCCAAGAGGAGACAGAGUGGAAGAACAUGCAGGGGAAGAGGCUAGAUCAAGUGUUAUUCCUAAGCUAGGGGCAGAAGAAGGGAAAAGCCUGCAGAUUCUGGAGCCAUUUAACUAUCUGGCAGAGAAGGGAAGACUUCAAGGAACAGGGGCUGAACAUCAGGGUGUAGCAGGGAACUUCAUUUCUCAGUGUCAGAGAAAACAACAACCCCCACCCGUAUCUCUGGACUUGCAUCAAUCUCCAGAAGGUGGGAAAGGAAGAAGGGGACUGCAGUCUGGAUCUACACAUGGGUUCUCUAAAUAGUGAAGUCUGAGACAAAGGCUUGGGUGCAGGUAGGUCUUCUUUGGGAAGUGAUCCCAGGGAGGACUGAGGGGUGGAGGGAUCAACAAGAAAGUAGUGAAAAUCUAUUCUAAGAAUAAUUUAGUUGGAAAGCUCUAUGAACAAUAAUAAUAAUAAUAAUAAAAAUCCCACAGGACGUUUUGAGAAGUCUUAU